GGGAAGAAUAGCAAUAGUAAAAACCACGAAGAGCGUGGACCACAGCUACAGUGAAAAGAAGUACAAAUGCAAAUUAGACACUAAAGAGCACUGUGAAGAUUUCUGAUGGUGCCAAAGGAACACAGACUGACUGCUGAAUACAAGUAAGCUGCAAAAUAACACUACAACAGUUUGAAAAAGUGCAUCUACCUCACUGUAACAUCUGG
rnacentral:lncRNA from 14 species